UAUAACACACACAGUUUGCUUUUCUUUAUGUUUCAUAAACAAAAAAAAAUAAUAAAUAAGAAGAACAACAAAAAAGAAACUCUUUCAAAGUCAGGUAAUUUGAUUUUACAAAAUGAUAUGUAUUUGGAUAUUUGAUGUUUUUUGUUUUACGUUUUUGUUUGUAUCCGAGCUGUUAACCACCGUGAAGAAGAUUACAUAAACAAGGCAAAUACAUAUGUUUACAAAAGGACCCUUAAGUUAUGAAAAGACCUUGAGCGCUUAAAUCAACAAAGAAUGAUCCUGCCUAUAAUAUACUGAUUUAACUGUAAUUGAAGACAUUGUCAGUUUUGCACAGCUAACAAAUUGCAAAAUGUCGCCAAAUAUGUUAGAUUUUGCAACGCUUAUACAUAAUGGAAUAACAGGGUCAAAAAUCUUUUCAAUGACCAUUUUUCGAUGAAAGUCAAUGUGCAGUGAAGUUUUUAGACUUUCUUAAUCUGCAUGUUGGCCUUCAUUGUGGUAUCAGCCGUACCAAUCGAUGAAACACUUGCCGGUGAUUUGUAUGGAAGCGAACAGGCCGGACCACAGGAUCC